UGCCCUGCUGGCAAUGGGCAAAGAGACACUUUGUUGGUGAUAUUGUUCUAUCAGUCAGGGGCAGAACAGAUGCCAGGCCUUUGUUCAUUCUAGCUUGUUGCCUGGCUUGGUAGCUAAAACUGUCUUAUGUCCAGGACUCAUAA